rnacentral:rRNA from 1 species
UGUAUACGGCCAUACUCGUGGCACACGCAGGCGAACCCAUUCCGAAUUCGCAACUUAAGCGCCCGUGGGCUUGGUCAGUACUGAGGUAGGGAUCACUCGGGAACCCCAAGUGCUGUAUAC